GUCGAACGGGCUUGGGGGCAACUCCAGUCAGUGGCGAACGGGUGCGUAACACGUGAGAAAUCUAACAUUCGGCGGGGGAUAGCCSGCCCAACGGCCGGGUAAUACCGCGUACGCUCGUCGAGGGGCAUCUCUUGGCGAGGAAAGCAGCAAUGCACCGAAUGGGGAUCUCGCGGCCUAUCAGCUAGUUGGUGAGGUAAUGGCUCACCAAGGCGACGACGGGUAGCUGGUCUGAGAGGAUGGCCAGCCACAUUGGAACUGAGACACGGCCCAGACUCCUACGGGAGGCAGCAGUGGGGAAUCUUGCGCAAUGGGCGAAAGCCUGACGCAGCGACGCCGCGUGUGGGAUGAAGGCCUUCGGGUUGUAAACCACUGUCGGGAGGGACGAAGCUCUGACGGUACCUCCAAAGGAAGCACCGGCUAACUCUGUGCCAGCAGCCGCGGUAAUACAGAGGGUGCGAGCGUUGUCCGGAAUCACUGGGCGUAAAGGGCGCGUAGGCGGCCUGGUAAGUAGGAGGUGAAAUUCUGCGGCUUAACCGCAGAGCUGCCUUCUAAACUGUCAGGCUUGAGCACGGUAGAGGCUGGUGGAAUUCCCGGUGUAGCGGUGGAAUGCGUAGAGAUCGGGAAGAAYAUCGGUGGCGAAGGCGGCCAGCUGGGCYGUUGCUGACGCUGAGGCGCGAAAGCGUGGGGAGCAAACAGGAUUAGAUACCCUGGUAGUCYACGCUGUAAACGAUGGGUACUAGGYGUCGGGGGGAGCGACCCUCUCGGUG
rnacentral:rRNA from 1 species